AUUGAACGCUGGCGGCAGGCUUAACACAUGCAAGUCGAACGAGUGGCGGACGGGUGAGUAAUGCUUGGGAAUCUAGCUUAUGGAGGGGGAUAACUACGGGAAACUGUAGCUAAUACCGCGUACCAUAGGAUUAGCCCAAGUUGGAUUAGGUAGUUGGUGAGGUAAAGGCUCAACAAGCCGACGAUCUCUAGCUGGUAUGAGAGGAUGACCAGCCAAACUGGGAAUGAGACCCGGCCACGACUCCGCAGGGAGGCAGCAGGGGGGAAUAUUGCGCAAUGGGGGCAACCUGACGCAGCAAUGCCGCGUGAAUGAAGAAGGCCUUCGGGUUGUAAAGUUCUUUCGGGAGCGAGGCGUUAACUACAGAAGAAGCACCGGCUAACUCCGUGCCAGCAGCCGCGGUAAUUC
rnacentral:rRNA from 1 species